AUCCCAUAACAGAUGGCUGUGAGCCACCGUGUGGUUGCUGGGAAUUGAACUCAGGACCUCUGGAAGAGCAAUCAAUGCUCUUAACUGCUGAGCCAUCUCUCCAGCCCCACAAAGGAGAACUUUACUCAAGACCAGCCAGGUAAAUCAGUUAGCAUAUCAGGGUUACUUAGAGAGGCAUUGAUGACCCAGGCAGCUACACCACCCCAUCCCACCCCAGACAACUGUCACCUCUUAUAUAGUUGCUAUCGGAAUCCUGGGGAGGCGCUAAUGAGCCUCCAGGGUGUCGUGGCCCUCUCAUAAAAGACUGUUAGUAGUCCUGACUUACAAGGGAGGCUUGCAGAUUGUCAUAGCUGCUCUGCUUCAAGGCAGUAAAGUCAUGGCCAACCCAGAGGACACAACUGCACUACAGACAUGCUUUGAAUUUAGACAAUCUGCUGGUACAAGAUCUGCCAACUUACUGGGUUAUGAAGCACCCAGGAGAUUAAUAAAUAUAUCACAGCUCUGAGUAUGUUCUUUCCAGGGAGGGUUAGCAGAGGAAGGAAGUCUGGCCCUGAAAGGCUCGGUCUGAGGAAAAGGAAAAGUCCUAAGCCAGACCUCUCUUUUCCCACCUCCUCUGCCUCUCCCCUCCCCCUUUCCUCCCCACCCUGUCGGGCUAAGACCUCUGCAACUGGGGGUCAAAACAACCCUUUCCUUCAUUGGUUUUCUCUGAGUAUUGUGUCGCAGUGAGGAAGAGCACUCAGUCCACAGGCACUGUGAAGACACAAUGUAUACACUCCCAAAUAGAAGAACAAACUGAAAAUGUGAUCAGUGCACAGACAACUCCCUCUUAACCUCCAACAAAGGCAAGUGUGUGAGGGGCUGGAGAGAGCGCUGCGGGGUUAAGAGCACUGGCUGCCUUUGUAGAAAACCAGGACUCAGAUCCCAGCACCCACAUGUGGACACCAGACAGUCACGUGGUACACAGAUAUACAGGCAAAACACUCACAUAUAUAAAAAUAAAUUAAAAAAAAAUUUUAACAGAAGUAUGCCAGGCAUGAUGGUGCAGCCUUUAAUAGCACUCAAGAGGCAGAGGCGUUUGGAUCUCUGUGUAUUCAGGGUGAGUCUAAUCUACAAAGGGAGUUCCAGGCAGCUGGGCUGGCCCUGCAUGAGGGCUACAUAGUGAGAACCUGUCUCAAAGAAGAAUGUGUGAGCAUGUGUGUGUGUGUGCAUGUGCUUGUGUGGUUUGUGUGUGUUUGUGUGUGUGUUGGGGGAUAGGGAACAGAAAUUCAGAAACAAUAAAAAUAGAUGGGUGUGAUGUUUAAUUAAUUGUCAACCUGAUUGCACCUGGAAUCAGCUGAGAGCUCAGCCUGGGGCAGGCUUGUUAGAGUAUCCUCAAAAGGAUUCACUGAGGGGGAAAGAUGCCCCGGCCUCAGAGCAAACAGCAUCUUCCAUGUGUAAAGAGGUCCAAUCACAAACAGUGCCUGAAUAAGGCAUUUUUAAGCCAGAAUGGGGCUCCAGCCUUUUUUUUUUUUUUAAUAUAUAUGAGCACAUUUUAGCUGACAUCAGAUACAUUAGAAGAGGACAUCUUUGUUGCAUUACUGAUGGUUGUCAGCCACCACGUGGUUGCUGGGAAUUGAAGAGCAGUCAAUGCUAUUAACUACUGAGACAUCUCUCCAGCCCCAAGGGACUCCAGCCUUUAAUCCCAGGAUUUGAGAAGAAGAGUGAGUUUGAGGCCAGCUUCAUCUACAUAGUGAGUUCUAGGACAACCAGAAGUACAUAGAGAGAUCCUGUAGAUAGAUAGAUGGAUGGAUGGAUGGGUGGAUGGAUGGGUAGAUAGAAGUAAAUAAAUAAAAGUUUUGGGGGGCUGGAGAGAUGGUUCAGCAGUUAAGAGCACUGACUGCUCUUCCAGAGGUCCUGAGUUCAAUUCCCAGCAACCACAUGGUCGCUCACAGCCAUCUGUUAAGGGAUCUGAUGCCCUCUUCUGGUGUGUCUGAAGACAGCUACAGUGUAUCCAUAUAAAUGAAAUAAAGUCUUUUAAAAAUAAAAUAAAAAAUAAAAGUUCUUGUAGGGCACCCAGAAACAGUGACCACCAGUUCAGCACAGUAUUGCACACACACAGCAGUAUUGCACACACACAGUAUUACACACACACAGUAUUGCACACAUACAGUAUUGCACACAUACAGUAUUGCACACACACAGCAGUAUUCCACACACACAGCAGUAUUCCACACACACAGCAGUAUUCCACACACACAGCAGUAUUGCACACACACAGUAUUGCACACAUACAAUAUUCCACACACACAGCAGUAUUCCACACACACAGUAUUCCACACACACAGCAGUAUUCCACACACACAGCAGUAUUACACACACAGCAGUAUUCCACACACACAAUAUUGCACACACACAGUAUUGCACACACACAGUAUGCCACACACUCAGUAUUACACACACAUAGUAUUGCGCACAUACAGUAUUGCACACACACAGUAUUCCACAACACAGCAGUAUUCCACAACACAGCAGUAUUGCACAUACACAGUAUUGCACACACACAGUAUUGCACACACACAGUAUUCCACAACACAGCAGUAUUGCACACACACAGUAUUGCACACACAGAGUAUUGCACACACACAGUAUUGCACACACACAGUAUUCCACACACACAGUAUUGCACACACACAGUAUUCUGUUUCUCCUGUGCAGUUGGACAAUGGGGGCGAUCGUGACUAACACUGCUAUAAUAUUAACGGACAAGCUGCUACUUGGAGGCAACUUCUUUCACUCCUGGGUGUGUUCCGAGCAGCAGCAUUGCUCACUUCCUUGGUACCCCCAUGUUUAAGCUCUUGAAGACCGGAAGACUCACUUUCUAAAGCUGGUGUGCCAUCUUACUCUUCCCACCCCACCCCCGACUCCCAGCAGUGCGAGUGCAAGAUGGUCCCCACUGCCCACUGUCUCUGCCUGGUUUCUUUUGUCUUUGCAUGGAUAAAUCACAGGCUAGGUAGCACAACUGAACAGACUUUCCCUCUCCCAUGGCAACAUCCCCAUCUAAUGCAAUCUGUUUCUUUGGCUUAAGGCUAUAUCACUCUAAUUUCUGCCUUUGUUUAUUGCCACCCCCCGAGUGUGUGUGUGUGUGUGUGUGUGUGUGUGUGUGUGUGUGUGUGUGUGUGUGGUGUACACUUGUAACCUUAGCAAUAGGAAGGCAGAGAGGCAAGAAGGUUGAGGUCUGAGGUCAGCCUGGGCAGCAUAGCCAGAGGCUGUCAGAACUGAAACAAGUGAGGCACAUGGCACGUGCUUCUUUCUCAGGACGGCACAGGCAAUUACAUCUGAAAAGCAGCCAGAUGAUUCAGGAUAAGCUUCUCGCCUCCAUGCACCUUUUGCCAUAUAAGGUAACACACAGGUUGUGAGAUUCGGAGUGGAGUGGAAUCACAUCGUGGUUUUGAACGAUGCUGGUCCCUUCCCGUGGGGAAAUUGUGCACACAUCCUUUGUCCAGCUUUCAAGCCCCUUGUUCCUCAUCAUUGAUUUGUAAGUUCCUUAUACAGCAGUGAGAUCGGAGCGGAGGAUGAAACAGGAAGUGGCAGGAACCCACUCCUCGUCUGGAUGACGUCACAGCAGAAUCUGUCGGUUGUGACUGUCGUGAAUCCCUGGAGUCUGCUGGAAAGUUUGCAGUUUCCAGACCGAGGCUUGUGCUGCUCGGUUCCUCUGACACACUGUGGUAGGAGACUAGGGACCUGUAACUGUGUGAGUGUGGGUGUAUUUACCCGUGCAUGCGCAUGUGGAGGACAGAAAUUGAUGUUUCGUGUCUUCCUAUAUUCGGUAUGGCAUAUUGAUAUCUGAUGUCUUCCUAUAUUCAAUACAAUAUAUUGAUGUCUGAUGUCUUCCUAUAUAUUAUAUUAAUGUCCAGUGUCUUCCUAUGUCAAUAUGGUAUAGUGUUGCAAUCUUAUUUUUUUGAG
rnacentral:lncRNA from 1 species